rnacentral:rRNA from 1 species
UACGGAGGAUUCAAGCGUUAUCCGGAUUUAUUGGGUUUAAAGGGUGCGUAGGCGGAAUAUCAAGUCAGCAGUAAAAGCCCGGGGCUCAACCCCGGCGAGCCGUUGAAACUGGCGGGCUGGAGUUGGAGAGAAGUACGCGGAAUGCGCGGUGUAGCGGUGAAAUGCUUAGAUAUCGCGCAGAACCCCGAUUGCGAAGGCAGCGUACCGGCUCCACACUGACGCUGAGGCACGAAAGCGUGGGUAUCGAACAGG